rnacentral:misc_RNA from 1 species
GAAAUGCGAUAAGUAAUGUGAAUUGCAGAAUUCAGUGAAUCAUCGAAUCUUUGAACGCACAUUGCGCCCGCCAGUAUUCUGGCGGGCAUGCCUGUCCGAGCGUCAUUUCAACCCUCGAACCCCUCCGGGGGGUCGGCGUUGGGGAUCGGCCCUCCCUCGCGGGGGCCGGCCCCGAAAUACAGUGGCGGUCUCGCCGCAGCCUCUCCUGCGCAGUAGUUUGCACACUCGCACCGGGAGCGCGGCGCGUCCAAUGCCGUAAAACACCCAACUUUCUGAAAUGUUGACCUCGGAUCAGGUAGGAAUACCCGCUGAACUUAA